rnacentral:rRNA from 1 species
UACGUAGGUGGCGAGCGUUGUCCGGAUUUACUGGGCGUAAAGAGCGCGCAGGCGGUCGUUCAAGUCGCGUGUGAAAGCCCCCGGCUCAACUGGGGAGGGUCACGCGAUACUGAUCGACUCGAAGGCAGGAGAGGGAAGUGGAAUUCCCGGUGUAGUGGUGAAAUGCGUAGAUAUCGGGAGGAACACCAGUGGCGAAGGCGACUACCUGGCCUGUUCUUGACGCUGAGGCGCGAAAGCUGGGGGAGCAAACGGG